rnacentral:tRNA from 1 species
GGAAAGAUGCAGGAGUGGUUGAACUGGCACGCCUGGAAAGCGUGUAUACCUCUAAAGGGUAUCAGGGGUUCGAAUCCCCUUCUUUCCG